AUGGAGUUUGAGAGACAGCUAAGAUCAUGCAUGUACCCAAAACUAACAGAAGUAGAGCUUUCAACUCUUCCUUCCCACCCCAUGUCCAGAAGCCUGAGAGAAGAAAUGGAAACAGAAGACCACAUGGAGAAGAGUAGUAAUGUCUCAUUGAGAGUACAGCCAGCUCUGGGUAACCCCACCAGCAAGAAGCCAAGAAGUGUGUACCUUCAAUCCAGGCUUCUGUGGACUCUGACUCUCAUUAUGGGCCUCUUGGCACAGGUUAACUCACAGACUGAUGUCCGAGGAUACUUAAGUUUUGUUUUAAGAAGCAAUGCUGGGGGCCAGUGCUGUGGUGUAGCAGGUGAAGUUACCGCCUGCAGUGCUAGCAUCCCUUAUGGGCACCAGUUCAAGUCCAGGCUACUCCACUUCCCAUCCAACUCUCUGCUAUGGCCUGAGAAAACAGUAGAAGAGGGCCCAAAUCCUUGGGCCCCUGCACCCAUGUGGGAGAUUCAGAAGAGGCUCCUAGCUCCUGUUUUUGGAUAG
rnacentral:lncRNA from 1 species